CGGGGAGAUUCACGUCCAUCCGGCCACUGGCCUCCGCUCUCGGCAGAUGGGGCCGGCCGCCCGCGCGGAGCARUCCGCGGCGGGGUCGUGUCCGGUUGCUUUUCCACUCGCCGCGGGGUGGAGCCGUUCCAGUGUGCGGUGGACCGCACUUCUCCCCUAGUAGGACGUCRCGACCCGCUGGGUGCCGGCCUACGGCCUGGGUGCGCAGCCUGUCCUUCCGUGGGCUUCGGUUCGCGUUGUUGGGCAGAGCCCCAGUGCUCUGGCUGGCUGCUCGGCGGUAUAUCUUGAGGAGUCGAUUCKCCAACUGUGUUUGGGCGCCCUUGGCUCCCGGCAAGCGUGCGCGGUUCUUCCCGGAUGACGGACCUACCUGGCCCGACCCCGGACCCACGCCGCUGUUGGCACGGGAAGUCCUCGGGCGGAAUGAUCGCUCCUGUCAGCGGCGCUUCAGCUUUGGACAAUUUCACGACCCGUCUUGAAACACGGACCAAGGAGUCUAACAUGUGCGCGAGUCAUUGGGCUCUGCGAAACCUAAAGGCGCAAUGAAAGUGAAGGUCCCGCCUCGCGCGGACCGAGGGAAGAUGGGGUUCUGCGCCCCUUUGGGGCGCCGGCCUCGGCAUUCCCGGGGCGUCUC
rnacentral:rRNA from 1 species